GGCCGCGAUUUUUGUAAUGAUUCCUCGUUACUGUUUUUUAAUUCGCACGUAACAAUAUACACGGGCACGGGAGAAACGCGUCGCAACCUACAAUCUAAUUAUAAAUAUUAAUCAACAACAAAUUAAUAACAAGUACCACUACACACGUGUAUUUUAAUACGAUUUUCUACGCGCCAUCUGAAUUCCUGAUAAACAUAAUUAUUAUUACAGUUUUUAAUAUAAAUUUAAUACAAAAAAAUUUACCGGCACCUCUGUGCAUUUUUCCUACAAUACACAUUACAAUAAUAAUAUGUCACGAUCGCCGUCGACGCUGUAGCUGCUCCGCCGGGAUAAAGAUUGUUAGCAAAUUCCGCAUUGGUUUUUCGUUUUCGAAAAAAAAAAAAAAAAACUCACCACCGCCGUUGCCGGGAACGAGUUAUACGAGGGAAACGACGAUCGUUUGAGACGCGCGCGAACGUCCGUACUGCACACCACGCACUCCGCACUCGCCACUCGCGCCUCG